GACGAACGCUGGCGGCGUGCUUAACACAUGCAAGUCGAACGAAGUGGCGAACGGGUGAGUAACGCGUAAUCAACCUGCCCUUCAGAGGGGGACAACAGUUGGAAACGACUGCUAAUACCGCAUACUCAAGGAGGGGAUUGCGUCUGCUUAGCUAGUUGGAGGGGAAACGGCCCACCAAGGAGAGGUUCAGUAGCCGGUAUGAGAGAAGGAACGGCAACAUUGGGACUGAGACACGGCCCAGACUCCGACGGGAGGCAGCAGUGGGGAAGCUUCCGAAAUGGACGAAAGUCUGACGGAGCAACGCAGCGUGAGUGAUGACGGCCUUCGGGUUGUAAAGCUCUGUUAAUCGGGACGCGGUACCGGAAUAGAAAGCAACGGCUAACUACGUGCCAGCAGCCGCGGUAAUUC
rnacentral:rRNA from 1 species